rnacentral:snRNA from 1 species
AUAACAUUUAAUGUGAACAU